CAGAGAAGCAAGUUUUCUGUGAACAAGUUCAGAGCAUUCUGCACAUCUCCUUGAAGGCAGUAUGAAUACUUGUAUCUUUUAAACAUCACUAAUACAGCACUGAUUUCAGAAGGGAAGGUGCCUCAUUUUCAGAAUCAAACUGAUACUGAGUAAGGAAUAAGCAGUUUCUCCAAGGAUUGUGGUGGUGUACAUCUCGGAUCUCCCUGAGGAAUGAAGCCAGUUGAUCUUUCUGCUGAACAAGGUGAUCCACCCAGACCUAGCAGCUGUGACUUGCUGUGAUUCACACGCAGAGGAAUGUGGUGAUAAAUGGGAUUUUUCAAGUCGGAAACAGAUCUGUGGGUUUGGAGGGCUGACCUACAACAUGCACCAUGGCUUUCUUUGCAGUCAAAUUCUGCAGUAACCUGUAAAACUUGUUUGCAGGUUGGAAGUGGUAGUUUUGGCAUCAUACCUCAACUGCUGUCAGCAAAGGCAGAAAGCACACAUGGCUGUUUCACUCCCAGAGAUACCAUAGCAGCUACUGCACCUGGUAUGACCCAGCUUUGCUGCAGGAAUGGUCUUUGCAUGCCCACAGACUCUGCUAUUGAUUUCACCGUGCUCCUUUCCCAGCAACCUGACACUGUGGAGCGCUGGCACCGAUGAAAUCUUUCAACAUGGAAGCUCUUCAUCACCAAGGCAUCUGAUGACUGGAUCACAGCAAAGCAUCUGAGAAGUCAUUUGUGUUGGUUCCUUGGAUGAGCUUUCAUGACCAUAUUGAAAUGAAAACAAAGCCACAGAAAGAACAGAAAAAGUCUUGAACUUCAUUCUCUUCAUUGUUUCUCCAUAGCCUAGCAAUUAUUCAUGAGAUAAUGACUGAAUUUUAAUAUACAUGGCAAAACAUGUUUCCAUUAAUAUUUGUGAAUGAGCUACAAUUAUGAAACUGGUUUGCUGUGUCUGAUUUUUUGCCAAACCUCUUCCAGGCGGACUAUUUUUGUCAUGGGAAUUGGCCAAAAACAUUUUAUGCUUAAGCAUAAAUUUAAGAUAAUUCAUUCUGGCUUUAUAUCAGUAUAUCUCAUUUUAGCUCGUGGCAUUUUCCUUAUUUAAAACAGUACAAAUCUCAGCAGCAUCUGACUUAGUAAAGUGAACCAUGGAAAGUGAGAGUCAUACUUUUUUAACAAAAAAACUGUCUGCCUAUGUCAGUACUAUUGAAAAAUGUUUGUGCCAUAAUAGUGCAUAAAUAAUAAUUAAAUCUUAGUCUGGGGCAAGGGAUUUCAAUCAUCAUUUCUGUAGCUUUUUUUCCCCAUUUUUCUCACACAAUUUGUAUAAUUUUUUUAUACUGAGCAACUUUUAAAAGAGUAAAUGUAUUUGCAUAUAUAAGUCAAAUUUAGAAAUGAGAAACAUGAGAAAGCUUUUUCAUGGAAACAGCAUCAGGAAAUUGUGGAGAAAUAAAUAUUGUAUCUCAUCUCUGACCA
rnacentral:lncRNA from 1 species